rnacentral:snoRNA from 1 species
GGACAUGAUGACCUGGCGAUAGGAAGUGCCGUCUGAUGCGACACUGACGAUUUGCCCAAUUCUGAUC